rnacentral:snRNA from 1 species
AUCGCUUCUCGGCCUUUUGGCUAAGCUCAAGUGUAGUAUCUGUUCUCCGUGAAAGAAAUUACUACUCUGUAUUUUCGUCCAACAACCU